rnacentral:rRNA from 1 species
UUUUUUAAAUUUAAUAAAUUUCAAUUUUAUUUAAAAAUUUAAAUAAAAAUUAUGUAAUUAUAUAAAAAUAUAUUGAUAAACUGAAAAGGAAAAUUUUAUUAAAUUUAAAAAAGUAAUUAUAUUAAACCUUUGGCAUUAGGGAUUUUUAAAAAAAAAAUAAAUUUUUAUUUUUCUCGAAAUAAAUAGAUCUAAUUUUAAUAAAUUUAAUUUGUUUAAAAAAAUUAAUAAAUUUUUAAUUAGAAGUGAAAUUCUUAUCAAAAUUUAAGAUAGCUAGUUUUAAAAAAAAAUUUAAAAUUUUUCUGUUAUAUCUAUAUAAUAUAUAUAAUAACAGGUUAUUUCUUUUGGGAUAAGCUAAAAGAAUUUUUAAUAAAAAAAAUAUUUUUUAUUUAAAAAGGAAUAAAAUUUUCCUUUUUAUUUUUAUAAAUAAUUAUAUUUCAUAUUAUUAAUUUUAAUUUUUUAAAAUUCAAAUAAAUUAAUUUUAAUUUAUUUCAAAAAUGAAAAUAUUAGUAUAAGUUUAUAUAAUAAUUUUUAUUUAAAAAUUAAUUUAUUUUUAAAAUAAAAUUAAAGAAUUCGGCAAAUUAUUUUUUUGACUGUUUAAUAAAAACAUUUCAUUUAGAUAUAAAAUUAAAUGAAAAUCCUGCUCAAUGAAUUAUUAAAUUGCUGUAGUAUUUUGACUAUACAAAGGUAUUGAAAUAAGAUUUUAAUUGAAUGCUAAGAGAAUGGAUUAACAAAAAAAUUCUUUUUUAAUUUUAAAAAUAAAAAUUAAUUUUUUUUGUGAAGAAGCAAAAAUAAAAAUUAAGGACAAGAAGACCCUAAGAAUUUUUAGUCUAAAAUUUUAGAUCUAAAAUUUUAGACUUUAAUUGGGGCGAUUAAUAAAAAUUUUGAACUUUAUUUUUAAAAAUAAAAUGAACCGUUAUUAGCGGUAAUUUGAAAAAAAUACUCUAGGGAUAACAGCGUAAUAAUUUUUGAUAGUUCUUAUAGACAAAAUAGUUUGCGACCUCGAUGUUGGAUUAGGAUUCUUAUUUAAUGAAGAAGUUAAAUAAAGAAGUUUGUUCAACUUUUAAAAUCCUACAUGAUCUGAGUUUAGACCGAUGUGAAUCAGGUUAGUUUCUAUCUUAAUUUAAUAAUAUAUUUUAUAAGUUAGUACGAAAGGAAUUCUUAUAUAAAAAUAUUUUUAUAAUGCUCAGCAGUUUUUGCAUCAAUUUUUGGAAUU